rnacentral:lncRNA from 1 species
UAAGGUAUUUAAUUGUAUUAUGAUUAAAAUCUUUUUUUAUUAAUCUGAUGCCACAGUUAAUAUCUAUUUUUUUAGAGAAAAAUAGCAUGCUACCCACUUCAUUUUUAUAGAAAUAAAUUUAGUUAGAAAUAUAAAGUAAUUAGACUUUGAGCUUGGGACCUAGGAUAUUGACCGCCCAUCUCUUUAUCAUUUGGGUUAGGUACCGUCGGUUUUAAUAU